GGACAUAGCUCAGUUUGGGAGAGCGCCUCGUUUGCACCGAGGAGAGAAGUCCCCUUGUGUCUA
rnacentral:tRNA from 1 species